rnacentral:misc_RNA from 1 species
UAACAAGGUAACGUGAAUAUUUUCCUUUAUCUUCACUGGUAGCUAGCAUAUUGAUCAUGUCGUGACCAACGGCUGCACUACAAGAUGGAUCAGGGCAUCGUAGCAUUAAGCAUCCAGGUCCAUCAUUUAUUGAUGUGCCCAUGUAACCUUGCCAGCAUGCGCCACAGAAAGGAUGCCCGCAAGCAGCAGCACUCAUCAUCUCACGGGGAUAGGACUCG